UACAGAGGUCUCAAGCGUUGUUCGGAUUCAUUGGGCGUAAAGGGUGUGUAGGUGGCGCCGUAAGUCGGGUGUGAAAUUUCGGAGCUUAACUCCGAAACUGCAUUCGAUACUGCGGUGCUUGAGGACUGGAGAGGAGACUGGAAUUCAUGGUGUAGCAGUGAAAUGCGUAGAUAUCAAGUGGAACACCAGUGGCGAAGGCGAGUCUCUGGACAUUUCCUGACGCUGAGGCACGAAAGCCAGGGGAGCAAACGGG
rnacentral:rRNA from 1 species